rnacentral:lncRNA from 9 species
AUGUCCCUGCCGGACCUGGGGGUCCCUCUGGGGCGGGGCUCCGUCGGUGGCAACAGGGGGACCCUCUGGGGCGGGGCCCCCUCACCGGGGCGCGCAGCCCGGUUGGCCGGGCCCGGGGGCUGGGAGAGCGCGCAGAGGUCCCGGAGCAGCGUCGCGGGCCAGGCGCGCGCGGGGUUCCCGAGGCAGUACCAGCGCCGCGGGUGCGCAGGGUCCCGGGGUUACGCUGGGGACCCGGGGCGCGCAAGGCUCCCAGGGGUGCGCGGCGCUCCAGGGGGCGCGCGGCGGGACAAGUGCGGCGGCGGGCGCGGCGGGGGCGGGGGUCGGGGCCGGGGCGCCGGGGGGCCCCCCGAGCCGGGCUCAGAGGGGCGGCGGGCGGCCGCGCGGCCGCUGCCCGGGCUCCGCCAUGCUGCUCCGCGGCCGGGAGGGAGGGAGGGAGGAGGGCGGGAGAGCGGCGCGGAGCCGGGCCGGGCGGGGGGCUGGGGCCGCCGGGGCGGGGGGAGGGGAGGACCCGGCGCGGGGGGCGGGGGGCCGGGGCCGCGCCGGGCCGCGCCGGGCCGGGCCGGACCGCAGGGAGUCGGGGCGAGCUCCGCGCCCGGGCGCGGCGAGGCGGGGUCUGAUGGGCAUGGCAGGCGCUCGCUCGCUCCUCUCCUGCUCCCUCGCUCGCUCCCUCACACACACACACACACCGCGCGCGCGCGCGCGCGGAGGGAGGCGAAGCCCGCAGCAGCCACUUCCCAACUUUCCAAACUUCCCAGCGCAACUUUUUCCUCUCCUCCCCUGCCCGCGCCUCCUCCUCGCCCGCCCUCCCCCUUUCCCUCGGCAGCUCCCGCCGGGCCGCAGCUUCCGCGCGCGGCCGCCAGAGGGCGCCCGGGCCGAGGCCCCGCAGGGCGGACCUCGGUCCGCUCGCUGCUCCUUGGAGGAGGUGGACGAGGGCUGGUCCGGACCUGGGGAGCCGGCUGGGCAGGUCCAGGAGAAGGGAACGGCGAGAGAGGAGAGGGGCAGGAGCGCGCAAGCAUUCCCAGGCCGGCUGGCAAAGCCAGGGAAGCUGGGGUUCACGACUUUGUAUCACACCGCUCUUCCAAACACCGGCGUGCGCGCAGGACCCCGGAAAGGGAAGGAUUCGGAUCCCAGUUCCUGAGACUGUACGAAUCGGAAGAGAUCGCACAACCAGCCUCUUUCCGCUCUGGAGAGUGCAGUGACACUUAGAAAAGGCCAAGAGGCAAGCCCCAAGCUUCGGGAGCAUUUCUG